GACGAACGCUGGCGGCGUGCCUAAUACAUGCAAGUCGAGCGGAUGACGGAGGAGCUUGCUCCUCCUGAUUCAGCGGCGGACGGGUGAGUAACACGUGGGCAACCUGCCCUGUAGAUUGGGAUAACUCCGGGAAACCGGGGCUAAUACCGAAUAAUCCUUCGGACCUCAUGGUCCGAUGUUGAAAGACGGCAUCUCGCUGUCACUACAGGAUGGGCCCGCGGCGCAUUAGCUAGUUGGUGAGGUAACGGCUCACCAAGGCCACGAUGCGUAGCCGACCCGAGAGGGUGAUCGGCCACACUGGGACUGAGACACGGCCCAGACUCCUACGGGAGGCAGCAGUAGGGAAUCUUCCACAAUGGACGAAAGUCUGAUGGAGCAACGCCGCGUGAGUGAAGAAGGUUCUCGGAUCGUAAAACUCUGUUGUGAGGGAAGAACAAGUACCGGAGUAACUGCCGGUGCCUUGACGGUACCUCAUUAGAAAGCCACGGCUAACUACGUGCCAGCAGCCGCCGUAA
rnacentral:rRNA from 1 species